rnacentral:rRNA from 1 species
GGACGAACGCUGGCGGACGGGUGAGUAACGCGUGAGGAACCUGCCUUGAAGAGGGGGACAACAGUUGGAAACGACUGCUAAUACCGCAUGACGCAUAGAGGUCGCAUGAUCUUUAUGCCAAAGAUUUAUCGCUUCAAGAUGGCCUCGCGUCUGAUUAGCUAGUGGCGGGGUAACGGCCCACCAAGGCGACGAUCAGUAGCCGGCCUGAGAGGGUGAACGGCCACAUUGGGACUGAGACACGGCCCAAACUCCUACGGGGAGGCAGCAGGUGGGGAAUAUUGCACAAGUGGGGGAAACCCUGAUGCAGCGACGCCGCGUGAGUGAAGAAGUAUUUCGGUAUGUAAAGCUCUAUCAGCAGGGAAGAAAGUGACGGUACCUGAAUAAGAAGCCCCGGCUAACUACGUG